rnacentral:rRNA from 1 species
UACGUAGGGUGCAAGCGUUUGUCCGGAAUUAUUGGGCGUAAAGAGCUCGUAGGCGGUUCGUCGCGUCGGCUGUGAAAACCUGAGGCUCAACCUCAGGCCUGCAGUCGAUACGGGCGGACUUGAGUACUGCAGGGGAGACUGGAAGUUCCUGGUGUAGCGGUGAAAUGCGCAGAUAUCAGGAGGAACACCGGUGGCGAAGGCGGGUCUCUGGGCAGUAACUGACGCUGAGGAGCGAAAGCAUGGGGAGCGAACAGG